AGUGAACGCUGGCGGUAGGCCUAACACAUGCAAGUCGAACGGCAGCACAGUAAGAGCUUGCUCUUACGGGUGGCGAGUGGCGGACGGGUGAGGAAUACAUCGGAAUCUACUUUUUCGUGGGGGAUAACGUAGGGAAACUUACGCUAAUACCGCAUACGACCUACGGGUGAAAGCAGGGGAUCUUCGGACCUUGCGCGAUUGAAUGAGCCGAUGUCGGAUUAGCUAGUUGGCGGGGUAAAGGCCCACCAAGGCGACGAUCCGUAGCUGGUCUGAGAGGAUGAUCAGCCACGCUGGAACUGAGACACGGUCCAGACUCCUACGGGAGGCAGCAGUGGGGAAUAUUGGACAAUGGGCGCAAGCCUGAUCCAGCCAUACCGCGUGGGUGAAGAAGGCCUUCGGGUUGUAAAGCCCUUUUGUUGGGAAAGAAAGGCAGCAGGUUAAUACCCCGCUGUUCUGACGGUACCCAAAGAAUAAGCACCGGCUAACUUCGUG
rnacentral:rRNA from 1 species